UUUGAGACAGAGUUUUGCUUUGUUGCCCAGGCUGGAGUGCAGUGGCACAAUCUCGGCUCACUGCAACCUCUGCUUGCUGGGUUCAAGCAAUUCUUGUGCCUCAGCUGCUUGAGUAGCUGGGAUUACAGGUGCCUGCCACCAUGCCCGGCUGAUUUUUUUGUAUUUUAGUAGAGACGGGGUUUCACCACGUUGCCCAGGCUGGUCUUGAACUCCUGAGCUCAGGCAAUCCGCCUGUCUCGGUCUCCCAAAGUGCUAGGAUUACAGGCAUGAGCCACUGAGCCUGGCUGUGGUCCAUGUCUUUUAAUCUUUUUGAGGUCCAGAAUCCACCUUUUGAGGUCCAGACCCAUCCUUACAGAUGAUGAUACAAGCUCAUGAGGACACUUAGGAGAAGGCAGCUGUGGAAUGAUGGAAAGAGUUCCGGGUGAAAAGGCAGAAAGUCUGGGUUUCCAGUAGUUCUGAAUAGGUCCCUUGACUUCACUGAGCCUUUCUUUCUUCUGAGCCCAAUACUGGUGGGAGGAAGAAACGGAAUUAUAAUAUGAUGGAGGCGCCUGCUGCAGUGUCUCGCACAUAGGAGGCUCAGUAAAUAUUUGUUCCAACUAAAACUAAAGUUGAGUUCAUAGGAUUCCAUUCCCUGCAGUAAAAGAGCCAAUUUCUGUCUCAUUUCCUUUUUUCUAUUAAAACAAGGUUAUCUUUAUAUAUUCUUUCCUGUCCUGCAAGGACGCUUCUUGGCUUGGCUAUUCAGUGUGUUAUUUCUCCUAUGGCUGGACAGUAAGAGGCCCCAGCUGGCUUUCAGGGUCUUGACUGGACAACUUUUUUUAAGACUGUGGCUGAGAACCCUGUGUGCUAAUAGAGGGUAAGUCACACGUUGUACAGUGACAGUCCCAAGCACUGAUCUAUGUGGUCAGCGGAGGCGGCAGGGACUUUGUGGGGUUGAUGUUUCCUGUAGGACAUUUGAUGGUGAAGAAAAGAUCUCAGCCUCCAUCUUCCCACCAGCACUCAGGAUGCAAAGACCUAUCCCUCCAGCCCAGCAGGCCUUCCAGGAGGCCAGUGGGAGAGUAAAGAGUCAAGACAAAAAGCAGAGAAGGUGUCUGUAGCUGCUGCCGAGCCUAAGGCUUUACAGUAGGACGCUGCUGUGUGUACCAGCUUCAUGCCAGGCAUCAGCUAGGUCUGGGCUUUUCCAGGUUCUCCCACACGCUACUUUUAAUUCCUGCUAAAGUUACACCGGCAGAGGUGGUUCUGGAGGAAGACAGGCUGAUUGUGAAUUCUGGCCACUCUUCUGACUGUGCCUAACUUGGGUGUAUUUCUUAACCUCAGCCUACGUUAUUUCAUCUGUAAGAUUUCUCAUAUGGUCGUUGAGAAGAUAACAGGAGACUAUAUAAAGAAAACACCUAGUAAUCUCAGCACUUUAGGAGGCCAAGGCGGGUGGAUCACGAGAUCAGGAGAUUGAGACCAUCCUGGCGAACACGGUGAAACCCCGUCUCUACUAGAAAUACAAAAAAUUAGCCGAGCGUGUUGGCAUGCGCCUGUAAUCUCAGCUACUCAGGAGCCCGAGGCAGGAGACUCGCUUGAACCCGGGAGGCGGAGGUUGCAGUGAGCCGAGAUCGCACCACUGCACUCCAGCCUGGGCGAGAGAGCGAGACUCCAUCUCAAAAAAAAAAGGAAAGAAGGAAAGCACCUAGUAUAGGGGGGCAGGCACAUUGUUGCUCAGCAAGUGAUGCCCUUCUCUCUUCCCCCUUAAUUAAUGCAACAAAAUAUGCCAUGACCUCAGGAUACAUUGUAACUGGAUCUUCAGGGGUCCUUUCCCCUCUCAGAGAAAGGGGACGAUAGCAUCUCCUUCCUUUAGGUGGGGAAUUGAGGUCUAGUGACUUCCUUAGAAACACACAGCAAAAGGAGUAGUAAAAAGUGUUUUCAUGCUCUCUCCUCCUUCACAUCGGUCCCCAACUCUGGGUUGAGCUCAAAAGCAGGCUUUUCUUUGGCUAAUGAUGCUCAGAAUUACCCACUAGACAAGCUGUCUUCAUAAGGGAGCCAAAUGAGACAGGAAUAAGAACAGGAAAUACAUUUCAGAUUGUUAGAUUGAAGGGGAUAUCAGAGACAUCCGAUCUAACCUCCAUAUUUUACAGAAAAGGACACAAGCGCAGAGAGGAAUGGCAACGUGUCUAGGGCCACCUAGCUAGUUGGUAGCACAAAAGGUAUAAGAACCCCAGCCUGACUCUUCGUUCAGCGCUCUUGCCACUGUCUUGUGCUGACCUGCUGUGAUCCUGAGCAACCUCUCCCCGAAGGAAGAAGCCAUCAGGUUGGUGACCAGAUGUAUGCCUGGCUUCAUUCUCUAGCCAGACACCUUGUGAUUUUUCUGAAAACCCAGCAGCAUGUUUCCCUUUGUUGACAUGUAAGCACGUGGUAGAAAACACAGACCACCAAACCACAGACAGGAAUCUUCCUAUCUUCUUCCCAGCUGGACAAGGGCAGCUAGCUGUCCUCGGCUAGCAUAAGCACUCAUGUACUUUUCAUUCAUUCAGCCUCAAAAAUGUGUCUCCAGCCUGUAAGCCUGCAUUUGUUCCACCUCUGUGCAGCUGCUGUGUCCACUAUCAAGCUGGGCAGGACCUUAGAGUUCCUUUUGGUGUAACUUCCUCACUUUGUAGACUGAAUCCCAGCCAGGAGAUGUGCUAUCUCUGGGUCAAACUCAAGUUAGAGACAGAGUCAAGCUGGAAACCAGGUUGCCUAGCGACCAGCUCCAUUCUCCUUCUAGAGUGUGGAAGAUUACCACACAGAGUGACCCUGCCUCUUCCUAAAAGGUCAGGAAUGAGAAUAAAAAAACUCAUGGUGUCCGCUGGCAGAAACAGGUGGGACAGGGCCCAGGGAAGAGCUGGUUUUUAUUGUUGUUGUUGUUUUAGUAUUGGAUGAGACUCAGUAGAAGCCAUAAAAUAAAACUAAGAAGAAUCUAUGCGAGGCCUCAUUAUGCCACUGGUGUCCUGCCUGCAGGGAACUCAUUUAUUUUGUGGCUGAGAUGCUGGGAGCUGUCAGCAGCUGCUUGCAGCUGCUCAGUGAAAAGACUGAUGGCAGUGAUGGCCAGGCUGAGGAGAUGGGAGGGGAGGAGAAGCAUCCCCCGUCUUCCCACCUACCACAGGCACACGCACAGAUGCGUGACAUACGCUCAGAACAGUCUUGCAGCCUCUUGCAUUGAUGUGCACCUUUCCUGAUGACACUGUCCCAGGAAGUGGAGUGGGGGAUAUGCCAGCCAUGGCCUGAAACCAGUGUCCAAGAGGCAGUGGAGGAUGCUGGAUAGAGCAUGAGGUUCGACAUCAGGAGACCAGGAUGGAACCUCUCCCGUACUGUCACCUACUGAGUCAGCUUGAAUAAAUGACGAACCUCUCUGCGUCUCAGUUAUGUAUCUGGAGAAAAUAGGUAAGCUAGUGCUUUGUCAACUAAGGUUCUUUAUGAAUGUGAGGUAAGCAUGAUAAAGGAGUGUAGAUUGCAGGAACUGGCAGGACCUGACUUGAGUCGGUCAUGCUUCUCUGUACCCCGUGUUGUAGAGAAUCAAUCCAUUUCAAACUGGUGUGGAGCCCCAUGACAGACACAGCAGACACAGAGGGAACAGGAGCUGGGCCCAAGACUCGUGGUGGGGCCUCUCCCCUGACUUCCUGGAGGAUGAGCCCAGCACAAAGAUGGAUCCGAAAGACACUGUUCACUGGCUCACUCAGCCCUGUUCCUAAUACCCUCUCUUGCCUACCUCCACCAUAGAAGCUAAAAGGUCAAACAUCUGCUUUCCAGGCCUCCUUUGCCCCCAGGGAAGGACAUGUGACAGGAUUCUAGCCAACGAGUCUUAUCAAUGGAUAAGAGAAGUCAGCUAGGGAGCUUUGGGGAAAUAUUUGCUUUAUACUUUGUGCAAACCAGAACUGGAUUUAGUCUCUAACGGCUAAUUUUCUUAGGAUAUAUAAUGCACUCUUAAAUAACCAUAAAUCUAAGACAAAACACAGCCAUUGACCUGAUAAAGGCACAGGUGAAGAGCUAUUGAAUUUCAAGGGUGACUAUUUCUUCCUGUGUAGCGAUCAGGGACUGCUUCACGGAGGAGGGGGCAUUCGAGGUUGACACGACUUGAAUACCCAAGGCUGAGAGAUUCGGACAUGAUUCCCAGUCCCAAUCUCAGAUGCCCUUAGCUCCUUCACUCUUCCAAACCUCAUUAUGGGGAAUCUGAUGAUUCUUGCCAGGUGAUGUAAUAGCUCUGGUGAUGAUCAGAUAUCAUCCUGCCUCUUAAUGACAGAGCACCAUCUUCUGAAGCCCUUUAAAGAUACAGUCUAACUCAUGCCUCUGAAGUGAGCAGAGAUGGAUAAAGAAGCCACCUCAUAGACACAAAGGAACUUCCCAAAGUUCCAGAAUUGUUUGAGAAGAGAACCUGCCGAUCCUCUCAGCCAUGUAAUCCUUCUUGGAACACUCCCUCAUCUUCACCCACGUAGACUUGCACACCUACCCUCCAGAUGUGGUGGGAGACGCCUUUAUGUAACAUGAAUCUGUAUGAUGAAUUCUUGCUCAUAUUGAAGACAUGAAAUUCCUAUGUGUAGGAUAUGUACUUUGAGUUCAUUAUCCCUAAAAGCAAGUCAUGGAUAUGCUUAAGUUAUCUGAGUGCUUUCUCUGGAGACCAGUGGAAUGCUUCGGCGGAUGUGAAGAUCCAAUUAGAUAAUUUAUGUGAAUGUGCUUAGCAAACCACAGAACACUAAACAAAUAUAGAAAUUUUUUCGAGAAGAUAAUGAGGUUCUCUCUGGGACCUAUUGUAAUAUUUUCCAGCUUUUCUUGCCAAGAAGUUCCUUCUAUCACACCUAAAUUCCGUUGAACACAGCUUCAGCCAGCUUGGAAAUAGCCUUUCUGUUGGGACAUUUCCAAAUCCCAGGUUUAGAGGUUCUUCCAUCUGGCAGGUGUCAAAGAAGACAACAGGAACCAUGAGCAGAACCACUUGGAACUGCAAACUCUUUGGGCCAAGGACAGACUUCUUCUCCAGGUCUGGUUUGGUUCGCAAAUUCCUGGCUGUCAUAGCAACCUGAAAAGCAAAGGAAGACUGUUUAGUGUCGUCUUUGACUGCAGCCUGGGCUCGGAAUGCGCUCAGGUUGGCCCAGUAAACAGUGUUCACCGGUAA